rnacentral:misc_RNA from 1 species
AACUUUCAACAACGGAUCACUUGGUUCUGGCAUCGAUGAAGAACGCAGCGAAAUGUGAUAAGUAAUGCGAAUUGCAGAAUUCAGUGAGUCAUCGAAUCUUUGAACGCAUAUUGCGCCCUUUAGUAUUCUGAAGGGCAUGCCUGUCCGAGCGUCAUUAUCAACCAUCAAGCUUUGGCUUGCCGUUGGACUUUGCGUAUGCUGGUAUGCCGGCAAUAGCAGGUCUUCAAGGUAGUGGCGGUGUCGUGGCGGACCCCGGAUACAACGAGCUCUCUAUAGCACGUAUCAAGGUGGCCCCCGAUCCAGCCUCACUGGAAUCUCAUAUCUAAAAGGUUGACCUCGGAUCAGGUAGGAGUACCCGCUGAACUUAAGCAUAUCAAUAAGCGGAGGCU